UGGAUGUUAAUCGAUCUGAUUGAAUCCUUUGCUCCAAUUCAACACAGAGACCAUCGACUUUCAUGUGGUCGCCUCAUACGUCGGACGACACAGUGUUGGAGCUGCCGCCACGCCUUGUUGUUCUGGGUUGGUCAUGGCCCUUUUCACCAGCACAGGCCGCUGGCCGUGCGCCCGCUUCCCGUUGCCGCUGAUGUCGGAGGGCGUCAAGCCAGGCCACCGCCGCAGUCAGCCAUGUCGAGGGAGGCCCGGUGCUUCCGUCGCACCUAGGCGGCACGCCGCCGCGAGGAGCCAUUCCGGGAGGAGCAGCGCCGCGGGCGGGUCGCCUCUUCGCCCGUGGGGGCUAGGCCGAUGGCCGAGCGCGGGGCGCAGUGCAUGCCGGGAGGAGUGGUCACGCCUGGUGCUCGUCGUCCGGGCACCGGAGGGCAAAGCCGAGGGCAUUGGUCUGUCCAUUGGACGCCGAUGAGAUGCCUCGCUAAUGGAAGCAGGCGAGGCCGCUUGUUAGUUGAGCGCUCCGUCGGGAUGAGUUGUCGUCUCGAUGGGCAACGAUGAAAACAAGUACUCCAAUGGUUAGUCCAUCGACUCCAUCCGCUCAAACCUAGCACAUGGUCAUAACUAAUCAAUUUAUGCAUUUAUUUACUGAGUGCAUAUGCAAACUGGAUUGUCACCGAUCCGUUCUUGAUGGAUUUCGAUUCAGCAUAUCUGUGAGGAGAUCGGUCUUGCUCCUAGCCGAGGGCCGCUCGGGAUGCAGGGCGUCUGAAACCGCGCUGGGAACAACAGUCGUCGAUGCGCCUCCAUGAAGAGUGGGGAAACUGACUUCUAUCCAUCGUCGUUUCCGAUUCUUUCGCCUGGUCGCUCACGGAAAAGCAUGCUGAUAACGUGUGAAGAGAAGGAAAGCAAAUGAUCAAAGAGUAAUCUCAUUGACUGAAGAUGAGGGUAUUUAUACCCUAAUACAGAGGCGGUAAUUAGACAGUAAGCGACAGUUGCUAAACUGUACAACCGACUUAAGCAUUGAUAACUAGAAUUUAAUUAAAGAAAAAUCUAUAUCACAUAGUGUGCAUGGCUGUCGUCCGUGCGGCGGCUUUGAAAAGACGCGAGACCAACAGGCCCGCAUGCGUGUUGGGUACACUAAACCUGGCUCCUUUUUACUCCCUCCGUUCUUAAAUAUAAGUCUUUUAAAAGGUUUGACUAGAGAGACUACAUACAGAUGUAUAUAGACAUACUAUAGAGUAUAGAUUCAUUCAUUUUUCUCCGUAUGUAGUACUUUAAUGAAAUCUUUAAAAAGACUUAUAUUUAGGAACGGAGGAAGUAUUAUACUCCCUGGACAUGAGCGUGCGCUUUUGGAGGCGAUUCUAAGCUGCAUGUGUCAGGCUGCUUUUUUCAUCUUCUAAGGAUCAGCUGCUAGAACACUAUUUUUGCAAGUUUGCAGUGCUCACUUUCCUUUCGCCCUCUUUCCACUCACUAGUAAACCCAGCCGAUGGAAAUCAGUAGCUGGACAAAAAAUCAUGAUAAUUAAUAUGAGCUUUUAUCGGAAUAGUACCAUAUUUUUUCCAUGUAGCAAAUAUACUCAUAUUUGCUUAAAUCCGACAACUGCACCUUUUGAAAUGUGACAACUGCAUCUUUUUAACCUGGUAAGCAUGUGAAUAUAGAUCCGACAAAUACAUCCAUUCUAAUCUGAUAAUUACAUCUGCUUAAACAUGGCAAUCAUGUAUAAUUAAUCUUGUAUUUUGUGGCAACUGAGAGCAUGUAAUGUAACCAAGCAUGUUUAGAAUUUUGGCAACUUAGUAUUUUAUAAUCUGACGACCAACAUGUUUAGCAUGGCAACCAAGUACCAGCAAUCUGGCAACUAAUCAGUUGUAGAUUAAUAGCGUCAAGAAGUUUAAAAAUACUUAGUUUUCCAUAUUAUAAAUAUUCAGUUACCGAACUAUAGGUGACAAGUUUAAUGCCCGUGCGUUGCCACGGAAGCAAAAAAACAUAGCGGUUGAAUAAUUGUCUGAAUUUACAAAUUUGUAGACAUGAUGGUAUGUGAUUGCCAUUGAUAAACUGAUUUUCUCCCGCUUCUUGCCAUUAGAGGUAGCAGUGUUACUUUCAAUUAUAUUUGGAAUAUGAUGAUCUGCUUCAAAAGUGUUUUCUAUUGGGAACUGGGAACUAAAUAUGAUAUUAUGAUGCCACAAGUGAAAAAUCCAACACAUUUACAUUUCAUAGAUUUCUAUAGAAAGUAAAUACUUGUGCAUGCAGCAGUUUGCUAAUUUAUAGAAAUUGAUAAAGUUGUGAAUUAACCUCCGCACAAGUUUGAUGUAAUGUUUCGACGUGAGCACCACUAAGUUCAAACUGGCAACCAUGCUCUGAAUUUUUUUGCUUCCCCUGCUUCCAUGAAAAUAGUUGCCACGAAAUUGAGUACUGCUUUUAGGAAUGACAUGUACAUCAUUUUUUUCUUUCCAGGCAUAGUACUUGCUUGAUUUGGCUACGAACAGGUCUAAACACCAUUACUUGGAUGCAUAUCAUCUGCCUUUACAGUGUUUAUUCGAAUUCCACCAUUUAACAAGUGUCGGUUCGAAAUAUGGUGUCAGGGUAUUUCUGACAACAUCCAACCGUCAGCAGUCUGUCUAUUCUGUUAGAAGAACACGUGUUGCCA
rnacentral:lncRNA from 1 species